GACGAACGCUGGCGGCGUGCUUAACACAUGCAAGUCGAACGGGCCCGCCCCUGUUUUUGGGGGUGGGUUGAGUGGCGAACGGGUGAGUAUCACGUGAGUAACCUGCCCCCUGCUCCUGGAUAACUGCUUGAAAGGGCGGCUAAUACGGGGUGUGCCGGCUGGUCCGCAUGGGCCUGGUCGGGAUAGUUUCAUCUUCGGGUGUUUCGGUGGGGGAUGGGCUCGCGGCCUAUCAGCUUGUUGGUGGGGUGAUGGCCCACCAAGGCGGUGACGGGUAGCCGGCCGGAGAGGGUGGGCGGCCACACUGGGACUGAGACACGGCCCAGACUCCUGCGGGAGGCAGCAGUGGGGGGUAUUGCACAAUGGGCGGAAGCCUGAUGCAGCGACGUCGCGUGAGGGAUGGAGGCCUUCGGGUUGUGAACCUCUUUCUCCGGUGGUGAAGGCCCUGUCCGUUGCGGCGGGGUUGACGGUAGCCGGGUAUGAAGCGCCGGCUAACUACGUG
rnacentral:rRNA from 1 species